UAUAUUAAAAUUUAUUAGCUAUAAGCCAAAAAAAAACUAUGCUUCUAUUUGUUAAAUAUAAAAAUAUAUAAACACCAUUGUUUAACGGUUUAAGUUUUUAGACAGUCCCUAGAGCAAGUGGCAAAGGAUUUGUUGGUUGGUAACCGAGACCCAAGUUCGGAUCCUAAUUGAUUCACAUUUCCAGCUAAGUUUAUUUCUAAAUGAAAUAAACAAAGCGGGUAGCGUGCUAUCUAUCUCUCAAAAAAAAAAAAAAAGUUUUUAGAAUACAGAUGUUGUUUCACAUGAGGUCUUGAGUUCGAGUCGCGUCAGGCUCCAAGCUAGCAUUAUUAAUUUUCUCUCAUUUAAUUUAAGUAGUUUUUGUUUCACACCAUUCGAGGAGGAAGUCUAUAAUGUCACACUUGCACCGCAUCAUCAGUAAAACAGCCAAUCAUAUCUCUCUUUUUAAAAGAAAAGUGCAAUAAAAUAUUUUUCUAUUAAUUAUGAUGGAACGGAUAAAUGCAAGAGGGACAAUUCUAUUAAUUGAAAAUACCAUAUCAGCAAUAUAACUGGUGCAUUCUAAAAUUUUUCCAGUUCCAGGUCCCACACACAAUUU
rnacentral:lncRNA from 1 species